rnacentral:pre_miRNA from 12 species
CCAGCUCUCACAUGGUGGUGAACAUCUCGCUGGGGCCUCCAAACGUUGUAACCAAGUGAGUCAUAGAGAACCGCCACAUUUUGAAACAAAUUAAAGAGUCUUUUAUUAG